GAAAGAGAGGGGGGAGGAGCCGGGUGAGUGCGUAGGGGGAGGGCGUGGUGAGGGUGUGCUGGGCGUGAAGUGCGUGCAGGGGGUUUGUUAAGUGUAGGGUGAAAGCGCCCGGCUCAACUGGGAGAGGUCCUUGGAUACUGGGAGACUUGAGGGGGGUAGAGGAGAGUGGAAUUCCCGGUGUAGGGGUGAUAUGCGUAGAGAUCGGGAGGAACACCAGUGGCGAAGGCGGCUCUCUGGGCCCUACCUGACGCUGAUACGCGAAAGCGUGGGGAGCGAACCGGAUUAGAUACCCUUGUAGUC
rnacentral:rRNA from 1 species